rnacentral:rRNA from 1 species
CGGACGGGUGAGUAAUGUCUGGGAAACUGCCCGAUGGAGGGGGAUAACUACUGAAACGGUAGCUAAUACCGCAUAACGUCGCAAGACCAAGAGGGGACCUUCGGGCCUCUUGCCAUCGGAUGUGCCCAGAUGGGAUUAGCUAGUAGGUGGGGUAACGGCUCACCUAGGCGACGAUCCCUAGCUGGUCUGAGAGGAUGACCAGCCACACUGGAACUGAGACACGGUCCAG